rnacentral:lncRNA from 1 species
CGCACUUGAUUAAGCACCCGACGUUCUUCUACAGUGCGCCCUUGCCCCUGGCUUUAGGUAGCGUCGUGUCCUCGGCUUGCCGUUCAUAAUCCAGGUAUGCGUCGACUGUCCAAGCUCCCGCUCACCAUUGGUGUUGCUCGAGUGUGGGGUCUGGUGUCGCCCAUAAAGGGAACACGUGAUGUGGGAUUGAGACAGUUCACAUAGCAACUCACAGCAAGGCAAAGGAUGCCCAUCCAGACUGGCAAAUAGCGGAGGCGGACACAAAAAGGUGGAUGUUGACUCCAUAGGAGUCUCAAUAGUACGCUCGUCCGUAAGAGCAGCAGGAGCACGAAGAUCCAGGAUAUACU